ensembl:snoRNA Gm23839 small nucleolar RNA SNORD23
UGCCCAGUGAUGAUACCAUCCUGGCUCCUUGUGCAUUUUGAGGCUGGGAGUGACAACAUAGCUUCCCUUGGGACAGGCAGUUGGGCCACUGCUUGAGGCUUUAGGGCA